AACGAACGCUGGCGGCAGGCCUAACACAUGCAAGUCGAGCGAAGCCUUCGGGCUUAGCGGCGGACGGGUGAGUAACGCGUGGGAACGUGCCCUUUGGUACGGAAUAGCCCCGGGAAACUGGGAGUAAUACCGUAUGUGGUCGAGAGACGAAAGAUUUAUCGCCAAAGGAUCGGCCCGCGUUGGAUUAGGUAGUUGGUGGGGUAAUGGCCUACCAAGCCGACGAUCCAUAGCUGGUUUGAGAGGAUGAUCAGCCACACUGGGACUGAGAUACGGCCCAGACUCCUACGGGAGGCAGCAGUGGGGAAUCUUAGACAGUGGGGGAAACCCUGAUCUAGCCAUGCCGCGUGAUCGAUGAAGGCCUUAGGGUUGUAAAGAUCUUUCAGUGGGGAAGAUAAUGACUGUACCCACAGAAGAAGCCCCGGCUAACUCCGUGCCAGCAGCCGCCGUAACAC
rnacentral:rRNA from 1 species